UACGAAUGGGGCAAGCGUUGUUCGGAAUCACUGGGCUUAAAGCGUACGCAGGCGGACUUGCAAGUCAGGAGUGAAAUCCCAGGGCUCAACCCUGGAACUGCUCUUGAAACUGCAAGUCUAGAAUCCGGGAGAGGCCAGCAGAAUUCCAAGUGUAGAGGUGAAAUUCGCAGAUAUUUGGAGGAAUACCAGUGGCGUAGGCGGCUGGCUGGACCGGUAUUGACGCUCAGGUACGAAAGCGUGGGGAGCAAACAGG
rnacentral:rRNA from 1 species